rnacentral:rRNA from 1 species
UGCAACCCGACUCCAUGAAGCUGGAUUCGCUAGUAAUCGCGCAUCAGCCACGGCGCGGUGAAUACGUUCCCGGGCCCUUGUACACACCGCCCGUCAAGCCAUGGAAGCCGGGAGUGCCUGAAGUGCGUGAGCGCAAGCAGCGCCCCUAAGGUAAAAACCCGGUGACUGGGGCUAAGUCGUAACAAGGUACC